GACGAACGCUGGCGGCGUGCUUAACACAUGCAAGUCGAACGGAAAGGCCCUGCUUUUGUGGGGUGCUCGAGUGGCGAACGGGUGAGUAACACGUGAGUAACCUGCCCUUGACUUUGGGGUAACUUCAGGAAACUGGGGCUAAUACCGGAUAGGAGCUCCUGCUGCAUGGUGGGGGUUGGAAAGUUUCGGCGGUUGGGGAUGGACUCGCGGCUUAUCAGCUUGUUGGUGGGGUAGUGGCUUACCAAGGCUUUGACGGGUAGCCGGCCUGAGAGGGUGACCGGCCACAUUGGGACUGAGAUAUGGCCCAGACUCCUACGGGAGGCAGCAGUGGGGAAUAUUGCACAAUGGGCGGAAGCCUGAUGCAGCAACGCCGCGUGCGGGAUGACGGCCUUCGGGUUGUAAACCGCUUUCGCCUGUGACGAAGCGUGAGUGACGGUAAUGGGUAAAGAAGCACCGGCUAACUACGUG
rnacentral:rRNA from 1 species